UCCUCCCUCUGGCGGCGUGCUUAACACAUGCAAGUCGAGCGGUAAGGCCUUUCGGGGUACACGAGCGGCGAACGGGUGAGUAACACGUGGGUGAUCUGCCCUGCACUUCGGGAUAAGCCUGGGAAACUGGGUCUAAUACCGGAUAUGACCUCCUAUCGCAUGGUGGGUGGUGGAAAGAUUUAUCGGUGCAGGAUGGGCCCGCGGCCUAUCAGCUUGUUGGUGGGGUAAUGGCCUACCAAGGCGACGACGGGUAGCCGACCUGAGAGGGUGACCGGCCACACUGGGACUGAGACACGGCCCAGACUCCUACGGGAGGCAGCAGUGGGGAAUAUUGCACAAUGGGCGAAAGCCUGAUGCAGCGACGCCGCGUGAGGGAUGACGGCCUUCGGGUUGUAAACCUCUUUCAGCAGGGACGAAGCGCAAGUGACGGUACCUGCAGAAGAAGCACCGGCUAACUACGUG
rnacentral:rRNA from 1 species